rnacentral:lncRNA from 1 species
UGGACUAACCAAGGUCAUAUCUCGAUCUUUGUCGGAUCAAAUUUUCAUACAUAAGUCCAUAGGAAUAGUCCAAGGUAUAAGCUCCUGACUAGAUAUUUUUUAAUCUUUAUCGAAUCGAAUUCUCAUGCAUAAUUCCGUGGAGGCUAUUCUACAUAAUGAGGCUAGUUCAAACCAUAACCUUUCCAUCCGAUUAUUACAUGUUGAUUUUAUUAAAUCAAUUUUAGCUUACAGUGUGAUCAAG